rnacentral:lncRNA from 1 species
GGUGUGCACAUGGUGGUGAUGGUGGACGGUGUGUGUUGGAGCUCAGUGGACGGGUGGAGUGUUGGUGUUUAUGUCACAGUGCGCAACAAUAGUGAUUUGACAGUGACCAUAAAAACGGGAGGAUGAAAAACACGAAAAUAGUGUGUUAAAGUGAUUUAAUGGUGAUCGUGAGUGUACAGUGUUGUCAGUAGUGUUACUGCUGUGUUGGUCGUGACAUAAAGGUGUAUCUUCAGUGGAAUUUAUAAGUUGAAAGUUUGAGGAGAGAAAGUGAUCAGUGGUGAGAGACAAAAAAUUUCCUGAGAACCAAUACGGAAAUAAUAACAAGUGUGGAAGAAACUGGUUAUACUCGUGAGCCGCGACGGAACAAGUUGUUGGCUAGCUCACAGCUGGCGACGCCACGGUGGCUCAGGUAACUCCACACGCCAGGGAGGACGCGCCCACGCCUUGCCCAAACGACCCACGCCUCGCCCAAAUGAUCCACGCCUCACCUACACGGCCAGCUGUCUGACCCUACAGCAUCCACAGCCCUCCCUGCGCCCUUUACACCCCCGUCCCACGAAGCCAACACCCUACCUGUGCAACCCAAACCCAUCCCACACAACCCACAACCCGCUUACACAGCCCAUACAACCCACACCUUGCCCAUUCAUCCUACACUUUACCCAAGCUCACAAAACAUCCUUGACGGAUAGGGGUGAGCAUCCCCUCCUCAAGUCUUACAACCUUGUAAACAAAACAUCCCCAGCAGGACCUGAGGAUGUAGAGCACCUGGGGCUGAGGCGAGGGAUGUGGAGGGGUAUGUGUGGCGAGUAUUGGUGAUGGUGGUGGCGAGUAUCGUUGGUGAUGGUGGUGGUGCUGGCCAGCUGUGGCGACUACGCCUCCGUCUGGGACUCCGCCUCGCUCUCUUCGGGGGCGUCUUAUGCUGAGAUCGUCGACUCCCAG